rnacentral:rRNA from 1 species
AAUCAACGCUGGCGGCAUGCCUAACACAUGCAAGUCGAGCGAGAAAGGGUAGCAAUACCUGAGUAAAGCGGCGCACGGGUGAGUAACACGUGGAUAACCUGCCUCAAAGUGGGGAAUAACACCGGGAAACCGGUGCUAAUACCGCAUAUUCUGACGAGAUCUGUGGAUUUUGUCAGGAAAGGAGCAAUUCGCUAUGAGAGGGGUCCGCGGCUGAUUAGCUAGUUGGUGAGGUAAUGGCUCACCAAGGCUUCGAUCAGUAGCCGGUCUGAGAGGACGGUCGGCCACACUGGAACUGAGACACGGUCCAGACUCCUACGGGAGGCAGCAGUGGGGAAUUUUUCGCAAUGGGGGCAACCCUGACGAAGCAAUGCCGCGUGGAUGAUGAAGUAUCUCGGUACGUAAAAUCCUUUCGACGGGGACGAAGCCGCAAGGUUGACGGUACCCGUAGAAGAAGCCCCGGCUAACUCCGUGCCAGCAGCCGCGGUAAUACGGGGGGGGCAAGCGUUGUUCGGAAUUACUGGGCGUAAAGGGUGCGUAGGCGGCUUUGCAAGUCGAUUGUGAAAUCCCCGGGCUUAACC